AAGCCUCCCUCACAUCGAUACUCACACAACUGAAGCACACCACGACCACGCCUGUGCUGUAGUCGUUGAGUCUCUCGUCCCCCCCCCCUUCUCUAUUUAUCUCUCCCGCUGGCUUUGAGCAAGAACUGGAGAACUCCGUUUGUCUCUGUGAGGUUAGGAAAUCAAUUAAAGAGACUGCCUUAAUUCUCUCUAAUGAUGAUGUUGAUGGUGGCAGGGCUUGGCAAGGCGAGGUGUAGGCUCGAUGCAUGGAGGUGGGACUGUGGGGAUGGUGUUGUAACAGCGGGGACUUCAAUGCGACUAGGGUACCGUUGCCGUGAAGAAAAUGGUUUAUUUUGAUUACAUUCCCACUUAUCUAAAAGGCUAAGCAAAUCAACCUCACAAUAAAGACAAGUGCACAAUGGAAUGGAUGAUGAAUUGGAGGGUGGAGCAAGCUUCAUGGUUUACUUUUUGUUUUGUUUUUUACUUUUGAAACAAAGGAUGUGCAAGACUAUAGAAUUUUAUUAUGUAUGCUUUCAAACUCAAGUUAGAACUAAGAACUUUUGAAGUGGACAGUGUCAUGUUUGGAAGUAGUUCG